AGAGUUUGAUCAUGGCUCAGGAUGAACGCUAGCGGCAGGCCUAAUACAUGCAAGUCGAGGGGCAGCGGGGUAGCAAUACUGCCGGCGACCGGCGCACGGUGCGUAACACGUAUGCAACCUACCUUAAACUGGGAGAUAGCCCGGGGGAAACUCGGAUUAAUACCCCAUAAUACAUUUGGAACACAUGUUUUGAUUGUUAAAGAUUUAUCGGUUUAAGAUGGGCAUGCGUUCGAUUAGCUAGUUGGUAAGGUAAUGGCUUACCAAGGCUACGAUCGAUAGGGGGUCUGAGAGGAUGAUCCCCCACACUGGUACUGAGAUACGGACCAGACUCCUACGGGAGGCAGCAGUAGGGAAUAUUGGUCAAUGGAGGCAACUCUGAACCAGCCAUGCCGCGUGUAGGAAGAAGGCGUUCUGCGUUGUAAACUACUUUUGAUUGGGAACAAAUGACUCUUGCGAGAGUAGCUGAGUGUACCAAUAGAAUAAGCCACGGCUAACUACGUG
rnacentral:rRNA from 1 species